rnacentral:sRNA from 1 species
UUUUUGCAUUAGGGAUGGUAGCGGCAUCCUUUGAUAGAAUGCAAUGGAAUCAAAGAUACAGCGGACAGCCCGACCGUAG